rnacentral:rRNA from 1 species
UACGGAGGAGGCAAGCGUUAUCCGGAAUUAUUGGGCGUAAAGCGUCCGUAGGUGGCUCUCUCAAGUCUGCGGUCAAAGACCGGGGCUCAACCCUGGAAAGGCCGUGGAAACUGGUGAGCUAGAGUGCGGUAGGGGCAGAGGGAAUUCCCGGUGUAGCGGUGAAAUGCGUAGAUAUCGGGAGGAACAUCAGUGGCGAAGGCGGCUGCCUGGCCCAAUACUGACACUCAGGUGCGACAGCGGUGGGGAGCAAACAGG